UACGUAGGGAGCAAGCGUUGUUCGGAUUUAUUGGGUUUAAAGGGUGCGUAGGCGGCCCUGUAAGUCAGUGCUGAAAUAUCCCAGCUUAACUGGGAGGGUGGCAUUGAUACUGCGGGGCUAGAGUACAGAUGAGGUAGGCGGAAUUGACGGUGUAGCGGUGAAAUGCUUAGAUAUCGUCAAGAACACCUAUAGCGAAGGCAGCUUACUAGGCUGUAACUGACGCUGAGGCACGAAAGUGUGGGGAUCAAACAGG
rnacentral:rRNA from 1 species